GUGGGGAAUAUUGGACAAUGGGCGCAAGCCUGAUCCAGCCAUACCGCGUGGGUGAAGAAGGCCUUCGGGUUGUAAAGCCCUUUUGUUGGGAAAGAAAUCCAGCUGGUUAAUACCCGGUUGGGAUGACGGUACCCAAAGAAUAAGCACCGGCUAACUUCGUGCCAGCAGCCGCGGUAAUACGAAGGGUGCAAGCGUUACUCGGAAUUACUGGGCGUAAAGCGUGCGUAGGUGGUUAUUUAAGUCCGUUGUGAAAGCCCUGGGCUCAACCUGGGAACUGCAGUGGAUACUGGAUGACUAGAGUGUGGUAGAGGGUAGCGGAAUUCCUGGUGUAGCAGUGAAAUGCGUAGAGAUCAGGAGGAACAUCCAUGGCGAAGGCAGCUACCUGGACCAACACUGACACUGAGGCACGAAAGCGUGGGGAGCAA
rnacentral:rRNA from 2 species